AUCAGGGGCCCUGGAAAGGGUCUUCGGGGCGCCUUCUUUCUUACCGUCAGAGGCGCGCCGUGUUGUAAAGCCCACAAGGCAGUUCAACGAGAUUGCGACUGGAACGAAGUUGUCCUGAGGGACGGGGAAGCGUUUAAACGUAUCAGCCAGCUGUAGCCUCUACGGUCGUCCAAGGCAUCCACGAGCCAACAGACGAGCGCGUAGCGACUUCAACACGCAGAGCGUCUCGUCA
rnacentral:ncRNA from 1 species